rnacentral:rRNA from 1 species
AUUGAACGCUGGCGGCAUGCCUUACACAUGCAGGUCGAACGGCAGCACGGGAGCAAUCCUGGUGGCGAGUGGCGAACGGGUGAGUAAUAUAUCGGAACGUGCCCAGUCGUGGGGGAUAACGCAGCGGAAGCUGUGCUAAUACCGCAUACGAUCUACGGAUGAAAGCGGGGGAUCGCAAGACCUCGCGCGAUUGGAGCGGCCGAUAUCAGAUUAGCUAGUUGGUGGGGUAAAAGCCCACCAAGGCGACGAUCUGUAGCUGGUCUGAGAGGACGACCAGCCACACUGGAACUAGGACACGGUCCAGACUCCUACGGGAGGCAGCAGUGGGGAAUUUUGGACGAUGGGCGCAAGCCUGAUCCAGCAAUGCCGCGUGCAGGAUGAAGGCCUUCGGGUUGUAAACUGCUUUUGUACGGAACGAAACGGCUCUUUCUAAUAAAGAGGGCUAAUGACGGUACCGUAAGAAUAAGCACCGGCUAACUACGUGCCAGCCGCCGCCGUAA